rnacentral:rRNA from 1 species
CUUUACUGCAGCUUUGCAGUGGCAUCAGAGACAUUCUGUGCAGGAUAGGUGGGAGGCUUUGAAACCGGGGCGCCAGUUCCGGUGGAGCCAUCCUUGAAAUACCACCCUGAAUUUUUCUGAUGUCUAACCGAGACCAGUAAGCCUGGUCCGGGACCCUGCAUGGCGGGCAGUUUGACUGGGGCGGUCGCCUCCCAAAGAGUAACGGAGGCGCGCGAUGGUAGGCUCAGGCCGGUCGGAAACCGGCUGUCGAGUGCAAUGGCAUAAGCCUGCCUGACUGUGAGAGUGACAGCUCGAUCAGAGACGAAAGUCGGCCAUAGUGAUCCGGUGGUUCCGCAUGGAAGGGCCAUCGCUCAACGGAUAAAAGGUA